rnacentral:lncRNA from 13 species
AUGCGAUGGAUGCUCAUCCCAGGAUGCGGCGGGACCGUCGCUCGGAGCGCUGUGCGGAGCCCGGGACCGGGGCUGGUCCCGGCGCUACGCGGAGCCCGAGGCGCUACAGUGGGGUCGGGAUCCGGGCCCGGGGAUUCGGGUCCGGGUCCUGCCGGUGUCGGCUGGGGGUCCCGGGCGGAGCCGCUACUCCCUCGGCGGGCAGGGUACCGGUCCUGGAGCCGCAGGACCGGGGCGGGAUUGGGGCUGGGAUCGGGACCGGGAUCGCCGCGGGCGGGAAGAGCCACUCCAGGAUGGGUGCUGGGGCCGAGCCCGGCGCUGCCGCUCCUGCUCCGGCCGGCACGGGGUGGGGUCCCGCCGGGGCUCCGGGCACGAUCCCGCUGCGGCCGCGGGGAGCCGGGGCCGUGCCGGUGCCGGGACCAGCAGGAGGGCGGCGGCUCCCCGGAGCAGGCGCUGGAUCCCGGCUGGAAGCGGGCGGGGCGCGGGCACCGCGCCAGCCCCGGGACGCCCCCAACGCCGCCGCUCCCUCAGCGCCGCCCGCCCCGCGGGGCGCCCCCUGCCGGACACGGAGCGGCGGCGCGAGCGCAGCCCCCGGUGGCCGCUCCCGGCCCCGCCCCGCAGCCCCCGCGGGGAUGCGAAGCUCCCGCCCCGCCCCGGCACCCCCGAGGCCGCCGCAGCCCCUGGGCAGAGCAGCGCCCGCCUCCCCCUCCCCGGAGGCUGCACGCCCGGGGGGCCCCUGUCCGCCGCGCCCCCGCGGAACGAGCAGCCCGGGAUCGCUGCAGCAUCGCCUCGGGUGGGUGGAGCCUCUCCGGGGCGGGCGCUGGGGCCGAGUACGGCGCUGCCGCUCCUGCUCUCACUGCGCCCGGUGUGGGACUGGGAGCUGCUGGGGCUCGGUUCUGCUCUGGCUGCUUGUCCUACACCUGCCGGGUGAGACCUGAUCCUUUCCCUCCUCUCCCCCACUUUCUCUGUGGCUCGCACUCUCUAGUGGAAAAAACCUCUAGGUUUAAAAAGCCAGGGAAAACUGUUCUUUAUUUCCAGAGCACAGGAUAUUCUGCGUUGGAAAGACCCACGAGGAUCAUCAAGUCAAAUGGUGAUAAGUGGUUGGUCCAUUUAGGGACUGAACUCAGAAUCUUGAGCUUCUCAGCACCCUGCUCCAAGCACCUGAGCCAAUCUCAGGGUCAUGAGGAAGGUCCUGCCUGGAAUGGGAAUGGCUGCUGCCAGCAAGGGAAUUCCUAUGCCAAUACAGCUCCUUCUUUUCUGCUAAUGCUACUUUAA